rnacentral:rRNA from 1 species
AUUGAACGCUGGCGGCAGGCCUAACACAUGCAAGUCGAACGAGUGGCGGACGGGUGAGUAAUGUAUGGGAAACUGACCGAUGGAGGGGGAUAACUACUGGGCACGGUAGCUAAUACCGCCUACCAUCGGCUGUGCCCAGAUGGGAUUAGCUAGGAGGUAGGGGAACGGCGCACCUAGGCGACGAUCCCUAGCUGGUCUUAGAGGAUGACCAGCCACAAUGGAACUUAGACACGGUCCAGACUCCUACGGGAGGCAGCAGUGGGGAAUAUUGCACAAUGGGCGCAAGCCUGAUGCAGCCAUGCCGCGUGUAUGAAGAAGGCCUUCGGGUUGUAAAGUACUUUAAGCUAGGAGGCGUUACUCGCAGAAGAAGCACCGGCUAACUCCGUGCCAGCAGCCGCGGUAAUUC